rnacentral:rRNA from 1 species
UGCAGUCGACGCGAAGGGGCUUCGGCUCUGAGUAGAGUGGCGAACGGGUGAGUAACACGUGGGUGACCUACCUUCGAAUGGGGGAUAACGUCCCGAAAGGGACGCUAAUACCGCAUAACAUCCUGCUUUUGAAGAGGUGGAGAUCAAAGCUGGGGAUCGCAAGACCUGGCGUUUGAAGAGGGGCCCGCGUCUGAUUAGCUAGUUGGUGAGGUAACGGCUCACCAAGGCAACGAUCAGUAUCCGGCCUGAGAGGGCGGACGGACACACUGGGACUGAGACACGGCCCAGACUCCUACGGGAGGCAGCAGUGGGGAAUUGUUCGCAAUGGGCGCAAGCCUGACGACGCAACGCCGCGUGGAGGAUGAAGGUCUUCGGAUUGUAAACUCCUGUUGCCCGGGACGAAAUGCUUCGACCUAACACGUCGAAGUUUGACGGUACCGGGUGAGGAAGCCCCGGCUAACUCUGUGCCAGCAGCCGCGGUAAUACAGAGGGGGCAAGCGUUGUUCGGAAUUACUGGGCGUAAAGGGCGCGUAGGCGGCCUUCUAAGUCGAACGUGAAAUCCCCGGGCUCAACCCGGGAACUGCGUCCGAUACUGGAAGGCUUGAAUCCGGGAGAGGGAUGCGGAAUUCCAGGUGUAGCGGUGAAAUGCGUAAAUAUCUGGAGGAACACCGGUGGCGAAAGCGGCAUCCUGGACCGGCAUUGACGCUGAGGCGCGAA